UGGAGGCAGCAGUGGGGAAUCUUGGACAAUGGGGGAAACCCUGAUCCAGCGACGCCGCGUGGGUGAUGAAGGCCUUCGGGUCGUAAAGCCCUGUCGGGGGAGAAGAAACUCCUGCCGGUGAAUAAUCGGUAGGAUUGACGGUACCCCCUAAGGAAGCACCGGCUAACUCCGUGCCAGCAGCCGCGGUAAGACGGAGGGUGCAAGCGUUGUUCGGAAUUACUGGGCGUAAAGGGCGCGUAGGCGGUCUACUAAGUUCGGUGUGAAAUCCCCUGGCUCAACUGGGGAACUGCGCCGGAAACUGGUAGACUAGAGUACCGGAGAGGAGGGUGGAAUUCCUGGUGUAGCGGUGAAAUGCGUAGAUAUCAGGAGGAACACCGGUGGCGAAGGCGGCCCUCUGGACGGAUACUGACGCUGAGGCGCGAAAGCGUGGGGAUCAAACAGGAUUAGAUACCCUGGU
rnacentral:rRNA from 1 species